UAAGCAUGAAGCCCCCCUCAAGAUGAGAUUUCCCAUAGCGUCAAGCUAGUAAGAACCCUGAAAGAUGAUCAGGUUGAUAGGUCAGAGGUGGAAGCGUGGUAACAUGUGGAGCUGACUGAUACUAAUCGUUCGAGGACUUAACCAAU
rnacentral:rRNA from 1 species